GAUGAACGCUGGCGGCGUGCCUAAUACAUGCAAGUCGAGCGAACAGAUAAGGAGCUUGCUCCUUUGACGUUAGCGGCGGACGGGUGAGUAACACGUGGGUAACCUACCUAUAAGACUGGGAUAACUUCGUGAAACCGGAGCUAAUACCGGAUAACAUUUGGAACCGCAUGGUUCUAAAGUUAAAGAUGGUUUUUCUAUCACUUAUAGAUGGACCCGCGCCGUAUUAGCUAGUUGGUAAGGUAACGGCUUACCAAGGCAACGAUACGUAGCCGACCUGAGAGGGUGAGCGGCCAAACGGGAACGGAGACACGGAAAAGACGACUACGGGAGGAAGCAGUAGGGAAUCUUACGCAAUGGGCGAAAGCAUGACGGAGCAACGCCGCGUGAGUGAUGAAGGGUUUCGGAUCGUAAAACUCUGUUAUUAGGGAAGAAAAAACGUGUAAGUAACUGUGCACGUCUUGACGGUAACUAAUCAGAAAGCAACGGCUAACUACGUG
rnacentral:rRNA from 1 species